rnacentral:rRNA from 1 species
UAGUCCACGCCGUAAACGAUGAGUGCUAGAUAUCGGGAAUUUUAUUUUCGGUUUCGCAGCUAACGCAUUAAGCACUCCGCCUGGGGACUACGAUCGCAAGAUUAAAACUCAAAGGAAUUGACGGGGGCUCGCACAAGUGGUGGAGCAUGCGGUUUAAUUCGAUGCUACGCGAAAAACCUUACCAACCCUUGACAUGGUGAUUAUGAAUCACAGAGAUGAGAUUCUUCAGUUUGGCUGGAUCACACACAGGUGUUGCAUGGCUGUCGUCAGCUCGUGUCGUGAGAUGUUGGGUUAAGUCCCGCAACGAGCGAAACCCUCAAUCCUUAUUUGCCAGCGGUUCGGCCGGGGACUAUAAGGAAACUGCCGGUGAUAAACCGGAGGAAGGUGGGGAUGAUGUCAAGUCAUCAUGGCCCUUAUGGUUGGGCUACACGCGUGCUACAAUGGUAUCUACAAAGGGCAGCAAAACGGCAACGUUUAGCCAAUCCUUAAAAGAUAAUCUCAGUUCGGAUUGGU